GAUCCUGGGUCAGGAUGAACGCUACACGGCAAGCUUAAUACAUGCAAGUCGAGGGGCAGCAUGAAGUAGCAAUACUUUGAUGGCGACCGGCAAACGGGUGCGGAACACGUACACAACCUUCCUUUUAGUGGGGAAUAGCCCAGAGAAAUUUGGAUUAAUACCCCGUAACAUGACCGAGUGGCAUCACUUGGUUAUUAUAGCUUCGGCGCUAAAUGAUGGGUGUGCGUAUGAAUAGAUAGUUGGCGAGGUAACGGCUCACCAAGUCUACGAUCAUUAGCUGAUGUGAGAGCAUGAUCAGCCACACGGGCACUGAGACACGGGCCCGACUCCUACGGGAGGCAGCAGUAAGGAAUAUUGGUCAAUGGACGCAAGUCUGAACCAGCUAUGCCGCGUGAAGGAUUAAGGUCCUCUGGAUUGUAAACUUCUUUUAUCUGGGACGAAAAAAGGUCUUUCUAGACCCCUUGACGGUACCAGAUGAAUAAGCACCGGCUAACUCCGUGCCAGCAGCCGCGGUAAUACGGAGGGUGCAAGCGUUAUCCGGAUUCACUGGGUUUAAAGGGUGCGUAGGCGGGUAGGUAAGUCAGUGGUGAAAUCCUGGAGCUCAACUCCAGAACUGCCAUUGAUACUAUCUAUCUUGAAUAUUGUGGAGGUAAGCGGAAUAUGUCAUGUAGCGGUGAAAUGCUUAGAUAUGACAUAGAACACCCAUUGCGAAGGCAGCUUACUACGCAUAUAUUGACGCCGAGGCACGAAAGCGUGGGGAUCAAACAGGAUUAGAUACCCUGGUAGUCCACGCCCUAAACGAUGGAUACUCGACAUACGCGAUACACUGUGUGUGUCUGAGCGAAAGCAUUAAGUAUCCCACCUGGGAAGUACGUUCGCAAGAAUGAAACUCAAAGGAAUUGGCGGGGGUCCGCACAA
rnacentral:rRNA from 1 species